GGAAGGGUCUCUAGCUAGAGAUCCUUUUUCUUGGAGCCCUUCUGCAAGCCCAGGACAUGGGAAAACAAAGAUGGCCUCUGGGAUGAAACUGAAAGAUGAGGUGUCAGAGCACAAGCUCCAUCCUGGCAUAUACUACAGUUUCUCCUCAAAGCUUUAAGGAAAACUUUCCCUGUGUAGUCACUGGAAACAUGCAGAAUCUCCUGUCAUUGUUCUAAAUUAGUGCCAGUGACCUGGACUGCAAUGUCACUGGGCAGCUGUAACUCCAUCUGGAUGCUGUGAGAGCUUAGUACACUUGGAAAUCCAGGCUGCAUGAUCAAAUGCACACAUUUUAAAAUUGUUAUUAAUUUACAUUUAAUCUGUUUCAAUGGAUUGUUCCUUCAGUUAUAAGGCUCUAUGCCUGCUCUGUAAACGUCUGGACCCAGAUCAAUCCAUCUGAAAGGCAGCUUUACUAUAAUUUGCAGAAGGUCCAAUGUCAUGAUGAUUCUGGUUAGAGUAAUGAUUCAGAAACUGAGUUAGUCCAAAAUAAUCCCAACAGUAACCGGUACUGUUUAUGCAUUAUUUAGGAUACAAAUUGUUUCAAAUCAUUUCAAGCAAUUUUAAUAAUGUUGUGUAGUCUAAAUGUUGGGAUAUCUUGCUGGGAGUGAGAGGGAAAUACAAUUUAUGCCCUCUCUCAGGAAUUUAUCUAUUCAUUUCUUUAAUUCCUUAUCUCUUGGAUCCAAACCUUUGAGAAAGGAAUUCUGUCCUCCUUGCCACAGUCUUCUAGCUUGAUCAUAAAUAAUGUAUAUAAUUGAGUAGUUCAAAGUACUCAUAUUGGCUGCUAGCGUUAUCUCCAGUAUUUAUCUUGUCUAUACUUUAUAUCAGUGUUUCCAAAUGCAUUAAAUCUGAAACUCAGGCCUUGUAACAGUUUAAUCUUUAUGACUUCAUUGACAAAGAGUUCAAAUGCACAAUACCAGUUUUUCCUACUGUCAUCUCUUAAAAGCUUUCUUUUAGCCUGUCAUAAAUAGCAUAAGAUGAGAUUUAUUCCGUCUCAGGAAUAAGAUUCUUAGUCAUUGUCUGAUUUUGAAAAUUCCUCUCACUCAUUGAAUUUCUCAUCUGCAAUGCAUGUGAUGAAGCCAGUGUAUGGAGUUCUGGAAAUAAUUUGAAUUCAGCAGGCUAGCAGUUAUCAGCUAUCCCUGAUCACUGUGGUAUGUGAGUUCUGUAGGAUUUUGGUGCAUCAUUUUGAUCAGAGGGUUGUUUUAUAUAUGUUUUAUUCUUUAGAAACUGUAUUCUGCCUGUGUCUUAUAUAUACUGAGGAAAAAAAAACCUUGUGUGCUCUAGGAUGAACCUACAUGUUCACCAACAUUGAAAUCUUCUGUCUUUAGGAAGUAUAUCUUACAGGAGCAAAACAAGACACAGCUGCAUAUUACUUCUGUGAAUCAGCCAAGAUGGCUAAAGAUUUUUUCCAUUAAAACUAUACAUACUGUUAAUUUAUUUCUAUACAAUGUCAGUUUCUCUUGGAAACCAUUUGAGAAUCAAAAGUUGGAAAAUUAAAGUUUAGCUAUCC
rnacentral:lncRNA from 7 species